GGAGAUGUAGCUCAGUGGUGGAGCACUUGUCUAGCAUAUAUGAGGCACUGGGUUUGAUUCUCAGCACCCAUA
rnacentral:tRNA from 1 species